rnacentral:lncRNA from 1 species
GCCUUACGGGACUUUUAGAGAAGCUAUAUGAGAGUAGACUGAAAUACUAUUUCAAUGUUUUCAGUUUUACAUCAGGAAGUGAUGCUAUCGAUGCUAAUAAUGAAUUUGUCCCACAGGUUGAAGGGGACCAGCUGCCUCCAGGACACACAGUCAGUCAGUAUGAGACCUGUAAGAUCAGGACCAUCAAAGCUGGCACACUGGAGAAGCUUGUGGAGAACCUGCUGACAGCUUUUGGGGACAACGACUUUACCUACAUCAGCAUCUUCUUGUCAACAUAUAGAGGCUUUGCCUCGACCAAGGAAGUUCUGGAGUUGCUACUGGACAGGUAAGAUCUAAGGGUGAGAGUCGCGUGGGAACCUAAGACCGUGUCCAGGGAACAGAGUGUGGCUCUGAAUUAAAGGCACCUGGAAGUCUGGGAAGGAGGAAGAAGGUGAGAUUAACUGGGAAAGCCAACCUUUGGAGUGAGCGGCGUGCAGAGAGUCAGCUACAUGGCUUGUUUCUAGGGUAAAGGAAUCCCAUUCAGGGGGCUGGAGAGAUGGCUCCCAGCAACCAAGUGGUGGCUCACAACCCUCUGUAAUGGGAUCUGAUGCCCUCUUCUGGUGUGUCUGAAGAUUGCUACAGUGUACUUGUAUACAUAAAAUAAAUAAAUCUUAAGAAAAAAAAGAAAUCCCAUUCAAAACAUUCAUAAAGGCUGGAUAUAGUAGUACAUCCUUCUAAUUUUGGUA